UUUCUUCGGAUUGAAGCCUUGGUGACUGAGCGGCGGACGGGUGAGUAACGCGUGGGUAACCUGCCUCAUACAGGGGGAUAACAGUUGGAAACGGCUGCUAAUACCGCAUAAGCGCACAGUACCGCAUGGUACGGUGUGAAAAACUCCGGUGGUAUGAGAUGGACCCGCGUCUGAUUAGGUAGUUGGUGGGGUAACGGCCUACCAAGCCGACGAUCAGUAGCCGACCUGAGAGGGUGACCGGCCACAUUGGGACUGAGACACGGCCCAAACUCCUACGGGAGGCAGCAGUGGGGAAUAUUGCACAAUGGGGGAAACCCUGAUGCAGCGACGCCGCGUGAGCGAUGAAGUAUUUCGGUAUGUAAAGCUCUAUCAGCAGGGAAGAAAAUGACGGUACCUGACUAAGAAGCCCCGGCUAACUACGUGCCAGCAGCCGCGGUAAUACGUAGGGGGCAAGCGUUAUCCGGAUUUACUGGGUGUAAAGGGAGCGUAGACGGCAUGGCAAGCCAGAUGUGAAAGCCCGGGGCUCAACCCCGGGACUGCAUUUGGAACUGUCAGGCUAGAGUGUCGGAGAGGAAAGCGGAAUUCCUAGUGUAGCGGUGAAAUGCGUAGAUAUUAGGAGGAACACCAGUGGCGAAGGCGGCUUUCUGGACGGUGACUGACGU
rnacentral:rRNA from 1 species